rnacentral:rRNA from 1 species
UGCUCCAAGAGUUUAUAUAUGUGUUGCUGCAGUUGAAAAGCUCGUAGUUGGGAUUAGAUGAGGAUGAGUUUGGGUGGUUCUGGUGUCGGGUUUUGCCUGUGCCAGUUAAAUGCAUGUAUUUGUGGCCCCCUCCAUCCACUUUUUUUUGUUCAUGUAAGUUGGGUUCUGCCCAACUCACACCUGAACGUGUUACUUUGAGUAAAUCUGAGUGUUCAAAGCAGACGAAUUUCGUCUUGAAAGUUGUAGCAUGGAAUAACGUGAUAGGACUCCGGUGGCCCUUUUCAGUUGGUCUAAGCCGUUCCGGAGUAAUGACUAAGAGGGACAGUCGGGGGCACUCGUACUUCCUUGUCAGAGGUGAAAUUCUUGGAUUUAGGAAAGACGAACCACUGCGAAAGCAUUUGCCAAGGAUGUUUUCA